rnacentral:rRNA from 1 species
AGUUGCCAUCAUUGAUUGGGCACUCUAAAGAGACUGCCGGUGUCAAACCGGAGGAAGGUGGGGAUGACGUCAAGUCCUCAUGGCCUUUAUGACCAGGGCUACACACGUACUACAAUGGCCGGUACAAAGGGCGGCGACACAGCGAUGUGAAGCCAAUCCCGAAAAGCCGGUCUCAGUCCGGAUUGGAGUCUGCAACUCGACUCCAUGAAGUUGGAAUCGCUAGUAAUCGCGGAUCAGCACGCCGCGGUGAAUACGUUCCCGGGCCUU